rnacentral:rRNA from 1 species
AAUGAACGCUGGCGGCGCGCCUAAUGCAUGCAAGUCGAGCGAGAAGACGUAGCAAUACGUUUGUAAGGCGGCGAACGGGUGAGGAAUACAUGGGUAACCUACCCUCGAGUGGGGAAUAACUAGCCGAAAGGUUAGCUAAUACCGCGUACGCUUCUUGGACUUCGGUUCAGGGAGGAAAGCGAUGCCGAGGGUAUCGCGCUCUUGGAUGGGCUCAUGUCCUAUCAGCUUGUUGGUGAGGUAACGGCUCACCAAGGCUUCGACGGGUAGCUGGUCUGAGAGGACGAUCAG